rnacentral:lncRNA from 1 species
UCAAAACAAAAACAUGAUUUAUGUGAAAUGUGAAUUUUAAUAGCCUUGGCAGUCUCGGUAGGAUGCCUCGACCAAGGUGUCCUUGAGAAUGGAUUUAUGGCACAAGCCUAGUUUUUAUGAGAUUCAUAAGCCUCUUCACGUAUUUUAAAUGAAAUGUAUUCUAAUGCUGUGACCCAAUUUACGAUGAUUUACUUUAUUGUCUCCGUGUACUCAACUCUAGAUGUUUAUGAUGAUGUCUGUUUACUCAUUAGGAUUUUAUAAUCUCACCACCCUCAUUUCCAUCCAUUUCAGGUUCAGUAUAGACUGUAGAUAGCUGAUCUCAUCGAGGACUACCGUUAGAUCUGCAUUUUCCAAACUGUAAGUUCACAGUCCUCUUUACUUUUGUUUAUUCG